UGGGGAAUUUUGGACAAUGGGCGCAAGCCUGAUCCAUCAAUUCCUCUUUCCUUAUUAAUUCCUUCUUUUUUUAACCUUCUUUUUUACUUACCGACAAUUCUCUUUUUAAUACCUUUUUCUCAUUACUUUACCUUAAUAAUAAGCACCUUCUAACUACGUGCCAGCAGCCGCGGUAAUACGUAGGGUGCGAGCGUUAAUCGGAAUUACUGGGCGUAAAGCGUGCGCAGGCGGUUAUAUAAGACAGAUGUGAAAUCCCCGGGCUCAACCUGGGAACUGCAUUUGUGACUGUAUAGCUAGAGUACGGCAGAGGGGGAUGGAAUUCCGCGUGUAGCAGUGAAAUGCGUAGAUAUGCGGAGGAACACCGAUGGCGAAGGCAAUCCCCUGGGCCUGUACUGACGCUCAUGCACGAAAGCGUGGGGAGCAAACA
rnacentral:rRNA from 1 species